rnacentral:misc_RNA from 1 species
UGUGCUGAAUACUCUUGGCAGGGU